UUUAGGCUGGAUUUUAGAUUUUGGCCCCUUCUCUGAUUGAGUUCGACACCCCUAAUCUAGGGCAAUGCUUCUGUAAUUUUUAAUGAAAAAUCAACUAUUUGCCUAGAACAUUAUGUUAAGAGAUGUAUAGUGUUUUGUUAUUUCUGAAGAUGUAUUUAAUUAUCCCAUAGUAAUUAUGUAUUUUCACAUCAAUUUAUCACCUUUUCCAUUUAAUCAUUAUAAAUUAUGAGUCACAAGUAUCAUAUGUAUACAAAUUCAGACAUGGUUUCCUUAGGGAAAUUAUAUUUGUUAUUACUUUAUAAUGUUUGACAUAGACUCAUUUCUUAUUCAUUCAAAGUAUUAAAAACUUCAGUCAUAUAUAUUUUUAGUCCCCUCCAGCCAGAGACCAACAUAAUCACAUCUGUAGCAAAAGAGAAAUGAGAUGGAAUUAAUUAAUAAGCAUGAUCAGAAACCACAAUGCCUGCAAUGUAAAAGUAGCAGCACCCUUUAAAGGAUUUCUUGUUAUAUUUUGCCUUGUGAUAGACAAUUUGAUUUCCAUUUAAGGAAGUGAUACAUUUUUCUGCAUUGAAUUCUGAGAGGAAAUGAACUUCAUUCUAUCUUGCAUAAUGAAAAUCAUUUUUCUUUAGGAGGCAGAAAAAAAUUCUAAACCAAAAUUGUAAGAAGCACAAAUCACAUUAGUGAGAAAAGCAAUAUUCAGUAUUUUUAUUCCUUUGAAACCUGUUCUCCUUAAUCACGUGUGCAAACAUGAAUGCCUUUUGUCUUGAUUUAUUGUGGUCUUGGAGUAGUUUGUGUGAUGAUGGACAUGGGACAUUUUCUUUUCAACAAGAUAUAUUUCUUUUCAAAAAGGCAGCAACCAGUUGUUACCUAAAUACUGAAAUAUUUACUAAGCUGUAUUGGGCACAUUUCCAAAAAGUACCUCAGUUAAGUAUACAUAUUAAUAUAAAGUCACAUACUUCUUAAUAAAAUAUGUAACUUAUUACCUUUUUAUGAUUCUAUUGAGGUUUAUAAGUUUAGUAAUAUUGUCAAAGAACACAAAUCUAGCAAGAAAACAAAGUUAGGGUCUCUUCCAAAAAUCUGUUCUUGCUGACAGAUUUCACUCUUUCCCUCCCACCUUUUAAAAAAUGUUGAUUUGAGAGACAGA